UCCGUCACGUCAUCGUCUUCCUCGUGUGGCUUCGACGAUUGUACAUUACUAAAAAGUAUCGCUGUAGAAAGCCGUGGCGAAGAGCAAUAACGCGAAGGCUCUCACGAAGGCAGCAGCUGCUACCAAAAUGGCCGCGUCCUGAUACCAGCUCGCCGCUGCCUGGACCCCCCUACGCAUAUACUCAAUUCUCAAUCGUCGUAUCACAGAGUCCAUUUCUUUCGUUGACAUCAAUGAAAUUAUAAUUUUCAAUACUUUCUGAGCUUUCUUAUCUUUGUGUGUUUGAGCUAUGCGCUCGAGUGACGUUUUGUUUUGGUGCAUCGUGUGAAUGACACUUGUUAACGUGGAUUUAAAAACCUGCACAUCGAACCUUAUUCUGCGCAGUUGAAAUCAGAAAUCACGCUGUACCUCGGGAACGGACGUAUCGGAGGAUUUCGUUGGGAGUCUCUCACGGACAGGAGGCACGAAGGAGGAAGGAAAGAAGCAGAAGAGGAGCGUACAGAUCCGUGGGGAUUAUCAGCAACAAGGUCGAAUUCUCAGGAGUCGUCACGCACGUGAAAUAUUUGAAUUUGGAAAAGAGUUCGGAAUGCGCAGGGUUCGACGAUCGGGAAAAUAGUCGAAAGCGAGAUAAGUGGACAUCAAGGAAUUCGUUUAUUUUUCAUCCUUAUAUCCCGAGACGUUCGGUGUGUGUUAGCCCGUGAAAUUAUUAAUUCGUAUGUGUACGUGCGUGUGCGUGUUUACUCGUGAACGUUGGAACGAUCGGCACGCGGUUUGUGGUUUGCGUUUAACGGUACAACGAGGAAAAGGCGGUGGCUCUCGACAUCUCCUUCUCUUCCUAUCGAGAAGUUAAAACCGCGCAAACACGAUCGAAUUCCAGCGGACACACGAUGAUACAACGGGGAAGAUUGCUGUGGUUGGUGCUGGCGCUGAUACUAAUCGAGGAGAGCUUUGGCCACGUAGCACUCACGUUUCCACGAGCCCGGAAGUACGAUCUCGACUUCCUCGAUAGCUCGAGAACGCCAGGACCAUGCGGCAUGCCUCGAGGAGAUGUUAAAACUUCGUUUCUUUCGGGAAGUAAAUUCAACGUAUCCUGGCAUUUGGCUUACCCUCACGAGGGAGGCUUCCGACUACAAAUUCUGGACGCUCUGGAGAGGCCGCUCGUGGAUCUUACUCCCGUGACGAAGCAGAGCGAAUUCGUUGAGGAUGACGCAACUGCACAGAGUUAUCCAGUCGAGUUGCCACAAAAUUUCACCUGCAUCAACUGCACUGUGCGACUGUUACGCCAGGCUACGGAGUGGGGCACGAGUUACAGGUUUUGGUCGUGCGCCGACAUCGAUAUCUUGGAGAGAAAAGUCUACAGAGAAAACUGCAGUGGUCACGGUCGUUAUCUGCUAGGAAGGUGCUCCUGCAACCGAUUUUACCAUGGAGCGAAGUGCGAAUUUCGUGAAGAUUGUCUCGUCGAUUCGGACUGUGGCACCCAGGGCGUUUGCGUCGAUAAUCAUGGCACAACCGCACCAACGAAACACUGCUAUUGUAAUGUUGGAUGGUACGGCCAAGGUUGCAAUAAACGAUCUCCGGUAAAGACAAUGGAAAUUGAUUUCGACGGUUACACGAUGAAACGUUUCUCGGACGAUUUUACAUUUUACUGGCGAAUAUUGCACGACGUUAAAGAGUUGGAGGGUAUAAUGGUCGUGAACGGAACAUCGUGGGUUGGUAUUGGUUGGCGCCCGACGAGUUUGACACCAGCGUGUCGAGCCUUUCCGGAAUUGCAUGAUCCCACGAGUCCGGAGCCGCUGCCAAUUCCGGAGCCCAAAUCGGAGCCAACGUCGGAGCCUGAACCGGAACCGAAAUCAGAACGACUCGGAAACGAGGAUCCUGCUCCCGAGCCAGAACCGGAAGCUGCGGGUUCGUCACCCGAACCUACUUCGAGACAGGUGAAUCCAUCGAGGAAAAAUAGUCCGGAACCUGAACCGGAACAUCGAGGAAAAACAGCGUCGGAUCCGAGCUCCGAACCGUUCAGAACUUCCGGAGCUAAGAGACGCUCGGCGAAGCCAAAUUUCGAUUCAUCGCCGGUGACUCAACGUAUUGGCACUGAUGUUACUGUACAGACGAGCGUUACCUAUCAAGUCAGCGCGAAGCAAGGUCGAAAGAGAAGGUCACCCGGACCAGCGCCACCCAGGCCGACAGGAGAGCCCAGCAGCGAGCCUGAGCCAAAAACUGAACCAGAACCGAGUUCCGAGCCCGAACCAAAGUCCGAACCUGAACCUAAAUCCGAGCCCGAACCAGAACCGAGUUCUGAGCCCGAACCGAAAUCCGAACCUGAACCGAAAUCCGAACCUGAACCAAAAUCCGAGCCCGAACCAAAAUCCGAACCCGAGCCUAAAUCGGAACCCGAACCAAAUUCCGAACCCGAGCCAAAAUCUGAACCCGAGCCAAAAUCCGAACCCGAGCCAAAAUCCGAGCCCGAGCCAAAAUCCGAACCCGAGCCUAAAUCCGAGCCCGAGCCAAAAUCCGAGCCCGAGCCAAAAUCCGAGCCCGAGCCAAAAUCCGAGCCUGAGCCUCAAUCCGAACCCGAGCCUCAAUCCGAGCCUGAACCGAAGUCAGAGCCUGAGCCAAAAUCUGAGCCAGAACCAAAUUCCCAUCCCGAGCCAAAUUCAGAACCGGAACCUACUUCCAACCAAGCAAACCUGGAAGCGGAGCCUAGCACCAAGGCGGGAGCUACGAAAGCGCCUGCGAGGCCCGUUGUACACAAGUACACUCCGAAGCACGAUUUCAAUCCUAUGGAUUGUACGGAUAUGGUGAUCGGCAUGGCUCGUGGAAACACUCACAGGAUCGGUGAUUACUACACGAGAGAUCGAUCGACACCACGCGCUGAUGCAUUCUGGGGCGGAAAGGACAGUCUUACAGCCGCAAUGGGAUUCGAGAAAAACAACGUCACUACGAUCGUAUUCAGGAAGAAAUUAUCAUCCAACGAACUCACCGAUCAUGAGAUAAUGGACGGUGACAUGCAGGUUAUAUGGGCCAAGGGCCAGGAACCCGGGAAAUACGUUCACAUUCCGCUGAGUGGCGUUGAAAAGGGCAAAGUUAGUGUCAAAGAAUUUUAUAAAGUUGACGAGUUGAAGUACCAUGGACAUCGAUCGCAACGAGGAGUUGCCUCGUUCAAUUUCUACGAUGAGAAAAACAAGGAAGAGUUCGGCGGUCACACGAUUCUUCAGGGUGGCGGAUGCGGAGGUGAAUGGAGACAUCCGAGGCAUUGCUCGAUCGAAAACGGUACCUGCGAGUACUACAUCAAGUGGACCUACAAAACGAAGAAGGAUCAAAUGUCCUUUACGAUAAUCACAACACACACGAACAGUUGGACAGGCGUGGGAUUCUCGGACGACGAGAAAAUGACACAAACCGACGCGGUCCUCGGAUGGGUCGAUAAAACUAGUGGCCGAGCAUUUGUAAUGGACACUUGGAUGAGUGGCUACAAUGCUCCGCUGUUAGAUCCGUCACAAGAUAUUUAUAACGCGAGCGGUAGAACCGAGAAUGGUGCUACGACACUCAGAUUCUCGAGAAAGCGAGUCACCAAGGACAAUCGAGAUUUAUCCUUCACGGACGAUCAUUGUCUCUACAUGAUGUUCCCUGUUAAGGGGGGCGCCUUCAAUCCUGUCAACAAAAAGAUCCGUAAACACGAAGCAACACCCAUCGUUUCUUCGGAAAGAAUUUGCAUCCAGUCAUGCGGGGUUGAAGAAGAGGACGAGGACGGUCCUGUGACCCCCGCACCGCCAAGAGUGUACUACGACGUUGAAGUGAAACUAGUGAAUUUGGGCGACGGUUUCGAGGCACCCCAGCCCGGAACGCCCGAUUUCGAGAUCAUCUCGAAUACCAUAUCAGACAAUUUUGGUCCAACGUUGGCAAAGUUGCCGGGUUAUUAUAACAUAAGACUCAACGAGUUGCAAAGAAAUGGGAAUGAUGGAGUCAUCGCGAAGAUGAAUCUCAUAUUGGACAAGAACGAGAUGAAAGGACGGGCUUUGAGACCAGCUGAUACAGUGGCUGUUGCUGAAGGAGCCUUGAAGGAAGCGCUUGUCACUGGAAGAGUAGGGUCUUUGACCGUCGAUCCUCAAUACCUCGUCGUCAGAGCUCCCUUGUCGAACGAUGUAUCGUUCGACGACGAUGAGGGUACGAGACAAAGUUCUAUGGAUUUAUUGCUUGGUUCGACGAAGCUUUACAUCGUGGUUGGCUGUGUAGCUGCGUUGGUAGCCCUGGCAUUGCUACAAGCGAGUUGCACGCUCUACAGGGCAACGAGAAAACGAACAACCAAGAGGGUUUACUCGCUGCCUUUGGUAUCUUCUCCCGCCUCGGUCAACCCGAUACAUCGUACGAACGCGAAUCGGUAUCACCGUCAAAACGAUCAGAAUAAUCACCAACAUCAUCACCAUCAUCAUCAACAACAACAACAGCAAUCACAACAUCAGCAACAUGGACAGAGACAUCAGAAUUAUCAAGGACAACAACAACAUCGACCUCAUCAACACGCACCCCCAAAUAUGCAUCGACCCUCGCCCAACUGGUAGCCCUAGCAACCUCAUUUCCCACUCCCUUAACACCAUCAUUCUACGGAAGAACAUUUAGCAGCUAUGCUUCGAGUUGUUCGAGCAGGACAGACUGAUAGCGAACAACGCUUGGCGUGACUAUUCCUCGGGUGCGAAUACAAAUUUCGCAUUCGAGGCAUUUGAGACUGAGGAAAAAGCGCCGCCGCCUCCGGUCUCGAGUUUGCCACGUUCGAGGGAC
rnacentral:misc_RNA from 1 species